rnacentral:tRNA from 1 species
GCCGCCGUAGCUCAGCGGAAGAGCGCCGCCCUGGUAAGGCGGAGGUCGCGGGUUCGAAUCCCGCCGGCGGCU